rnacentral:rRNA from 1 species
UACAGAGGGUGCAAGCGUUAAUCGGAAUUACUGGGCGUAAAGCGCGCGUAGGUGGUUCAGUAAGAUGGAAGUGAAAUCCCCGGGCUUAACCUGGGAACUGCUUUCAUAACUGCUGAGCUAGAGUACGGUAGAGGGUAGUGGAAUUUCCUGUGUAGCGGUGAAAUGCGUAGAUAUAGGAAGGAACACCAGUGGCGAAGGCGACUACCUGGACUGAUACUGACACUGAGGUGCGAAAGCGUGGGGAGCAAACAGGAUUAGAUACCCGGGUAGUCC